rnacentral:rRNA from 1 species
UACGGGGGGGGCAAGCGUUGUUCGGAAUUACUGGGCGUAAAGGGCGCGUAGGCGGUUGGAUAAGUCAGCUGUGAAAACCACGGGCUUAACUCGUGGCCUGCAGUUGAGACUGUCUGGCUUGAGUGUGGGAGAGGAGAGUGGAAUUCCUGGUGUAGCGGUGAAAUGCGUAGAUAUCAGGAGGAACACCGGUGGCGAAGGCGGCUCUCUGGACCACAACUGACGCUGAGGCGCGAAAGCCAGGGGAGCAAACGGG